rnacentral:pre_miRNA from 8 species
GUGGGCUGCUGAGACCGAGUGCACAGGGCUCUGACCUAUGAAUUGACAGCCAGUGCUCUCGUCUCCCCUCUGGCUGCCAAUUCCAUAGGUCACAGGUAUGUUCGCCUCAAUGCCAGCCACCAGGA